rnacentral:lncRNA from 1 species
UUAAUUACUCAACAAGUUAAUAUAUUAUUCGUCCCAUCGAAUCGUAAAGUUAAUAAGUCAAUUAUCCCAUAAAUCUAUGGUGAAGAAUACUUAUAUGAGAUGUCAUGGAACACUAAAAGAAUUCAUAGAAUAUAUAGAUCAGCCACUUGGGUAUCCCAUCAAACCUUCGAUCAUUGAUUCGUUUGAUCUGUAUUAUGUGUUGAAUCGUUGGAGCGUUUGGUUUCUACUUAUAUGAGCCUAUGCACGCACGACGUACGCUUUGACUCGUUCAUGCACCGGUCUGCAUCAUCUCAAACACAAAGUCUCAGCUUUCACAAAACACCAGUCUGAGAUUUCAGGACGAGGGGAGGGGGUAAAACCGGAGAACACCGAGCAAACAGUACCCAACCUUUAGAUUUCAGGACGAGGCAUCAUGUUAUUAUCACAAGGGAGCCUAAGACGAAGCAAGAGGACAACCAUAGAUAGCGUGAGCAGAUGCCACGAGCCCCGAAUCCCACCUCCGCUCAUUGCUGCUUCGAACUCUUCGCCGCUGCCGGUUUCCCACCCUUCGCCUGCCAAAAACACGGCUUAGAUAAUGAUACCCGUAUCGAGGACGAGUUCUACGGAGGUACCUUCCUCUUGGGCUCCCGAGGCUUUUGCCCAGCUCUCUUCGGGGCCUUCUUCGAGGCCGGCGCCCUCGGCGCGCCCUCGCCGGCCAUGGCCGCAGCUUCCUUGCUCUUUUCCAUGAUCCCUACAGGUUUCGCCGCCUUCGCCGACGCCAUUCUUCUUCUUCUUCCUUCCUCUUACUCUUCAAGUCUCUCUCCACUCGACA